GACAGAGGGUGCAAACGUUGUUCGGAAUUACUGGGCGUAAAGCGAGUGUAGGCGGUCUUCUAAGUCGGAUGUGAAAGCCCCGGGCUCAACCCGGGAAGUGCACUCGAUACUGGGAGGCUAGAGUAUCGGAGAGGUUGGUGGAAUUCUCGGUGUAGAGGUGAAAUUCGUAGAUAUUCGGAGGAACACCAGUGGCGAAGGCGGCUCACUGGUCCGGUACUGACGCUGAGGUGCGAAAGCGUGGGGAGCAAACAGG
rnacentral:rRNA from 1 species